UCCCCGACGUCACAAGUACACCUUCCUUCACGAGUUGAUCAUCUUCGUUGUCAUCAACUGUACUACAUAUAUUUGGCUCCCUCACCAUCUUCCAUCUCGUCUUCGUGAGUCUCGCGUUGAACAAGAUUGAUGGAUGGCUGAGUGGUUUGAAGGUUCAAUUAGAGUGGGGGAUGAGAUCAACUAUGCCUUCGAAGCAGAUGGGUGAAUGGUUUCCAUGCUAUGCUUGUCCAGUAAGCAGUCCUUUUGCAGGUUAAUCUCUCUUUCGUUGUCUGUUCGACCUUGAACGCACCAUGUUUAGGACUUGCAUAAAAACCCUAGUUUUGGAACCGAUUUUUCUUCCAUCAUGAGAAGUUCGUACUAAUUGAUUAGAUGUAAGUAAUCCCGACAACGUUUGUUGAUUCUAGCCUAAACUCAAAGCUAGUGAUAUAAACUGGUUGGUGCAUACGAGUCAGCGGUAGAAGAUGAACGUCGUCUUCCUCAGGGAUAUAGCCAGAUCUCCACGUCACUGCAAGAUAUAUUCUCGCACUAUAUCGCAACUCUUCAUGCUAUAUCAUUUUUUCCCUGGAUGGUUCUAGGAUGUUUAUCACUAGGAAGGGGCAAUCUAUAGUGAAGAAACUUCCUCUGGUCAGGCCUCAAAUAGGUUAAAUGCAAGGACGUAUAUUACCCAAAAAAAGAAAAAUACAAAUUGAAGGAAGUUUCCUCUAACUAUGGAGGAAACAUGGCCCGCUCCCGGCUCCAGAAUAUAGGUUUUUCCCAGUGAUGUUGGUCUCGAUCAGUUAGUUGGUCUCUUCUUUCUUUCCAGCCAAGAUCGGUUGGUCUUUGUCGAGGUAGAAAUGUUUUACAGUGAAAGAAAUGCCACAGAAUUGCACGGCUCACCUCAUUCAAGAUUCUUGAACGAGAAGGGAAACCCGAGCACAAAAGAGAUGAUGAAUGAACUGUGGUAGAAUAACCAGAACCUAGUUCAGCCUUUGGAUUGAUUAGGAUCGACCCUUAUAGGUCCUUUGAGUGCUUCAUGGGUUACAGGGGAAAACAAAAUUGAAAGCAACCAUGUUGUCUCAUAACACCCAAUUUUCAGGAAGGAAGAGGCUCUUUAGUACUCUUUGAGGCAUCCAGGAGGAGGAGAUACCGAAUCCUAGAGUGUAAUCACGACAUUUCAGGUGAUGGGACAAGAUCAAGAUAGACAAAAGAAGUCAUAAUGUCAAUGGAGCACAUAAAGAAAAAGAUUUAAGCAAUGACCCUUGGAAUCUUCCGAGUAGUAAAAUUAAAAGCAUGAGUGGAAUUAUAUGCUGGAAUGAGGGUAUACAAAAAGCCGGUCCGCUGGCUUUCUUUGGUUUUUUUUCGAGAUUCAACGGAUAUUCCAAUUUAGGAAAAUGACGAACAAGUAAGACGUUGUUGGAAACUCAGUUGGUGGCUGCCUUUUGAUUAUUCGUUUUAUAUGAUAAAUAUAAGGAGUGCUGUUCAUAAAGGUCCUUUACCUUUGUGCUAGUUCCUAUUAAGUUGUUAGUCUCGUUUAAGUCUAUAAAAGAAAGAGAAAAUGGAAAAGGGUCUUUACCAACAUACAGACGAGGAAAA